rnacentral:tRNA from 1 species
GAUCCUUUAGCUCAGUGGUAGAGCGUUUCGUUGACAUCGAAAAGGUCGGUGGUUCGAUCCCACCAAGGAUCACCA